GAUGAACGCUAGCGGCAGGCUUAACACAUGCAAGUCGAGGGGCAGCAUGAGACGGAGAUUCGUCGAAGUCUUGAUGGCGACCGGCGCAAGGGUGCGUAACGCGUGAGCAACUUGCCCGUUUCAGGGGGAUAACCGGUGGAAACGCCGACUAAUACCCCAUAGCAUUGAUUUCAGGCAUCUUUUUGUGAUUAAAGAAUUUCGGAUAAGGAUAGGCUCGCGUGACAUUAGCUAGACGGCGGGGUAACGGCCCACCGUGGCUACGAUGUCUAGGGGUUCUGAGAGGAAGGUCCCCCACACUGGAACUGAGACACGGUCCAGACUCCUACGGGAGGCAGCAGUGAGGAAUAUUGGUCAAUGGUCUGACGACUGAACCAGCCAUGCCGCGUGAAGGUCACGGCCCUAUGGGUCUUAAACUUCUUUUGCGAGGGAGCAAUAAGGUCUACGUGUAGGCCGAUGAGAGUACCUCGCGAAUAAGCAUCGGCUAACUCCGUGCCAG
rnacentral:rRNA from 1 species